rfam:Avibacterium paragallinarum strain CL AvpgCL_contig_63, whole genome shotgun sequence.
GCGUUUGUUAAGUAUUACAGAAAUGAAUCUUCAUUUUGAGAUGCUCCAAACAAGUAGAGUAGAAAGUAAAUUCGUUAGGGUAUUUAAAAAGCUGAGACUUAAAUCUCAGCUUUUUUU